rnacentral:rRNA from 1 species
AGCCUGAUGCAGCGACGCCGCGUGAGGGAUGACGGCCUUCGGGUUGUAAACCUCUUUCAGCAGGGACGAAGCGAAAGUGACGGUACCUGCAGAAGAAGCACCGGCCAACUACGUGCCAGCAGCCGCGGUAAUACGUAGGGUGCAAGCGUUGUCCGGAAUUACUGGGCGUAAAGAGCUCGUAGGCGGUUUGUCGCGUCGUCUGUGAAAACUCGAGGCUCAACCUCGAGCUUGCAGGCGAUACGGGCAGACUUGAGUACUGCAGGGGAGACUGGAAUUCCUGGUGUAGCGGUGAAAUGCGCAGAUAUCAGGAGGAACACCGGUGGCGAAGGCGGGUCUCUGGGCAGUAACUGACGCUGAGGAGCGAAAGCGUGGGUAGCGAACAGGAUUAGAUACCCUGGUAGUCCACGCCGUAAACGGUGGGCGCUAGGUGUGGGUUUCCUUCCACGGGAUCCGUGCCGUAGCUAACGCAUUAAGCGCCCCGCCUGGGGAGUACGGCCGCAAGGCUAAAACUCAAAGGAAUUGACGGGGGCCCGCACAAGCGGCGGAGCAUGUGGAUUAAUUCGAUGCAACGCGAAGAACCUUACCUGGGUUUGACAUAUACCGGAAAGCCGUAGAGAUACGGCCCCCCUUGUGGU